rnacentral:lncRNA from 1 species
CAAAGCAAUCUUUCAGGGAGAGAAACUUUAGUCUCAGUAUGAUCACUGUGUCAUUAACCCACUUCCUGCUUCUUUGCUUGGUUGUUGUAGCAGCAGCAGCAGCAAGCAACAAUAUUACCACAGACCAACAAGCUCUUCUUGCCCUGAAAGAUCAUAUAAUUUAUGAUCCGACCAACCUUUUAGCCCAUAAUUGGACCUCGAAUACAUCUGUUUGUACCUGGAUUGGCAUCACUUGUGAUGUCAAUAGCCAUAGAGUCGCAGCCUUAGAUAUUUCUCAAUUCAAUCUACAAGGCACCAUCCCUCCUCAACUUGGAAACCUCUCUUCACUCACAACGCUUAAUCUUAGUCAUAACAAGCUUUCUGGAAACGUUCCCUCCUCCAUCUACACAAUGCAUACGCUAAAAUUUCUUGACUUCACUGAUAACCAGCUCUCUGGUUCGGUGUCUUCCUUCGUCUUCAACAUGUCUUCAAUAGUAGAAAUUCGUUUGACCAAUAACAGAUUUUCUGGUGAGCUUCCGAAAAAUAUUUGCAACUAUCUUCCUCAUUUGAAAGCCCUUUUUUUGGACAAAAACAUGUUUCAUAGCAAAAUUCCUUCUGCUUUAUCAAAGUGCAAACAACUGCAACAAUUAAAUUUGCAGUUCAAUAAUUUAUCCGGUGCAAUACCAAAAGAAAUCGGCAACUUGACUAUGCUCAAAGGGAUAUCUCUAUUAUGCAACAAACUCCACGGUAUGUUCAUAAUACUAUGUAAAUAUUUUAAUUUCUCACUUGUUAUUUUUCUUGAAUACUUUAGAUAAGAUCUUGUAACAGAGAUUUUUUUGCAUCUAUGUUAAUUUGCCAGGUGAGAUACCCCACGAAAUCGCUAAUCUUCGAAAUCUAGAGGGUUUAGUGCUUGGAAUGAACAACCUAGUUGGUGUGUUACCAGCUCCAAUCUUCAACAUGUCAACACUGAAGGUACUUAUCCUCAUGGAUAACUCUCUCAGUGGAAGUCUACCAUCAAGAAUAGACCUUUCACUUCCAACUGUUGAGUUUCUUGAGUUGGCACAUAAUAGAUUUUCUGGAACCAUUCCUAGUUCCAUCACCAAUGCUUCUAAGCUCACCGUUCUAGCGUUGGGAGAGAACACAUUUUCGGGCUUCAUUCCAAACACAAUUGGUAAUUUAAAAAACCUUGAGUGGCUCAGCUUGGAGAAUAAUUACUUGAAAUCUUCAACCUCAAAAUUGAGCUUUCUUUCCUCUUUGGCAAAUUGCAAGAAAUUAAGAUUCUUAAACUUAGGAGGCAAUCCACUCGACGGUAUCCUUCCAAGUUCAAUAGGUAAUCUUUCUAAGUCUUUGGAAACACUUGUCAUCGCCAAUUGCAGUAUUAGUGGCAACAUUCCGGAAGCAAUUAGCAAUUUAAGCAACUUGUUGACCUUAGUAUUAGAACGCAAUAAAUUGACUGGACCAAUUCCAAUUACAUUCGGCCCACUACAGAAACUCCAAGGCUUAUAUCUUGCAUUCAAUAUGUUGGUAGGUUCAUUCCCAGAUGAGCUUUGCCAUCUAGGUAGGCUGAAUGAAUUGGUCUUAUUUGGCAAUAAGCUUUCAGGAUCUAUACCUUCAUGCUUAAGUAACCUCACUUCUCUGAAAUCUCUCUACUUAGGGUCCAAUAGGUUUACUUCUGUUAUUCCCUCAACCUUCUGGAGCCUAAAAUACAUCUUGUUCUUUGACUUUUCAUCAAAUUUCUUGGUGGGUCCUCUUUCUUCAGACAUAGGUAAUUUGAAGGUGCUUCUAGGAAUAAAUUUAUCAGAAAAUAACUUAUCGGGUGAUAUGCCAGCCACAAUUGGAGGACUAAAAAACCUUCAAAUUAUGGACCUAGCAUAUAAUAGAUUGGAAGGCCCAAUUCCUGAAUCAUUUGGUGACUUGACAAGUUUGGAGGUUUUGAAUUUGUCAAAUAAUAAAAUCUCCGGGUCUAUUCCAAAAUCCUUGGGGAAACUCUUUUACCUCCGAGAGUUAAAUCUCUCUUUCAAUGAACUAGAAGGUGAGAUUCCUAGUGGAGGAAUUUUUGCCAACUUCACAGCUGAGUCAUUUAUGGGAAAUGAGUUAUUGUGUGGUUUACCAAAUCUUCAAGUCCAACCAUGCAAAGUUAGCAAGCCGAGGACAGAACAUAAAUCAAGGAAAAAGAUACUUCUCAUUGUGAUUGUUUUGCCAUUGAGUAUUGCUCUAACGAUAGCAAUCACUCUAGCUCUCCAAUCUAAGCUGAUCGAAUGUGGAAAAAGAAGCACGGUGUUAUCAAAUGAUAGUAUCUUGUCAUCACAAGCAACACUAAGAAGAUUUUCAUACUUAGAACUUUUACGAGCAACAGAUAAUUUUGCUGAAAACAGCAUAAUUGGCAGAGGAGGUUUUGGUUCCGUUUAUGGAGCAAGACUUGAAGAUGGGAUGAAGAUUGCAAUAAAAGUGUUUCACCAGCAAUGUGCAAGCGCAUUGAAGAGUUUUGAGGCUGAAUGUGAAGUGUUAAAAAAUAUUCGCCAUCGAAACCUUAUCAAAGUUAUCAGCAGUUGCUCGAACGAUGACUUCAAAGCAUUAGUCCUAGAAUACAUGUCCAACGGGAGCUUGGGGGAUUGGUUGCAUUCGAGCAAUUACGUGCUGAAUAUUUUUCGAAGGUUGAACAUAAUGAUUGACUUUGCAUCAGCUUUAGAAUAUCUCCACUUCGAUCAUUCAACUCCUGUUAUUCAUUGUGACUUAAAGCCUAGUAAUGUAUUGUUGGACGAAAAUAUGGUUGCUCAUUUGAGUGAUUUUGGCAUAGCAAAGCUUUUAAGUGGAGAAGAUGAGUCUACGAUGCGAACAAAAACCCUUGCCACUAUAGGUUAUAUGGCACCAGGUUUGCUUCAAACAACUUUUUUUGUUGGUGCAUGUACCCUCCCUUUAAAAAAUAUAUAAUAAUUAAUACUUAAUAUAUUAUUAAAUACGAAAAUAUCAAUAUUUGACUACACAAAUUUAUGUCAUUAGGUCCUUAAAAUUUAAAAUUGAAGACACAAAAUGAAAUAUAUAUAUAAAUUUCAUUCUCAUAGGAAAUGAUCCUCUUAUAAUCUUAAAAUAUUUGAGCUUUGAAAGAUUUUUUAAAACAAAUGUACUUUUAUUUUUGUACAAUCAAUAUUUACUUAUUUAUUAUAUUUUUAUUCAUUAACUAUCAAUCAUGUGAGUAUAUUUACUCAGAAAUAUCAUAUCAAGGAAGAAUCUUGAUCCCACGCACACGCAAAUAUGUUAAUUUCUAUACGCUUCACUUACCUGUAGAAUCAAUUAUCUAAAAUGCAAGUUUGUGGCCACAAAAAAGGCCAAAGAAAGAAGAUAAUAACAAUUGACUUGUAUAUUAUACUCAUACAAUCCACUCGACAUAAUGAUAUCAUUUUAAUAAGGCAAUGGCUGAUGAUCUCCAUGACUCCAUUGAAAAACUAAUUCAAUUUUUUUUGCUUCAUUUAACUUUUUGGUUGUUGAAAAUAACCUUAAUUAUCAAAUAAUUGGAGAAAGAGUAAAGAACAUUUAAAAAAUUUAUGAGCAAAAAAAAAAGGAGAAGUUGAAGAGAAAGGGUGCUUGCAGAAGUGGGUGUCAAAGAAAAAUCAGUCCAUAAGAAUUAUUGCGGUUAUUUUUUGGCAAUAUAAAUUUUUUAUAGCAAGUAAAAAUUAAUUUUUUUCCGAUUUACUAAAAAAUUAACUAAAAACUUCUGCGACAACAUUUUUUAUGGGUGCAUAUAGCCUCCCUUUAAAAAAAUAAUAAUAAUUAAUGCUUAAUAUAGUAUUAAAUACGAAAAUGUCAAUAUUUGAUUACUCAAAUUUAUAUCAUUAGGUCCUUAAAAUUUAAAAUUAAAGAUACGAAAGGAAAUAUAUAUAAAUUUCAUUCUCAUGGAAAGGAUUCUCUUAUAAUUUUAUAAUAUUUGAGUUUUGAAAUUUUUUUGAAACAAAUGUAAUUUUAUUUGUGUACAAUCAAUAUUUACUCAUUUAUUAUAUUUUAAUUUAUUUAUUAUAUUUAGUCGGAAAAAUUAUAUCAAGAGAGAAUCCUAAUUUCACGCAAACACAAAUACAAGACAAAUAUGUUAAUUUCUAUACUAUUCACUUUCCUGUAGAAUCAAUUAUCUAAAAUGCAAGUUUGUGGCUACAGAAAACUCGCCAAAGAAAGAAGAUAAUAACAAUUGAGCAUUGAUAGCAAAACUAAUGCAUCAUUUUCUUCUUGACUUGAUGAGAUGGCGCCAUCACAAAAAAACAAGUACCUUAAUUGACGGGCACUGAGUGAUGUGAAUACUACCAGCCAGUUCAUCUCUUCCAGUCUUGCUUAAUCACAAUCACAAACACCUCGAGAUCGACAUUUGCAUUAUAUAUAUGUUCAGCAAUCGAAACACCUUGCAUUACCAAAUAAACCAGUAACAAACAAAGCAAUCUUUCAUGGAGAGAAACUUUAGUCUCAGUAUGAUCACUGUGUCAUUAACCCACUGCCUGCUUCUUUGCUUGGUUGUUGCAGCAGCAGCAGCAGCAGCAGCAAGCAACAAUAUUACCACAGACCAACAAGCUCUUCUUGCCCUGAAAGAUCAUAUAAUUUAUGAUCCGACCAACCUUUUAGCCCAUAAUUGGACCUCGAAUACCUCUGUUUGUACCUGGAUUGGCAUCACUUGUGAUGUCAAUAGCCAUAGAGUCACAGCCUUAGAUAUUUCUCAAUUCAAUCUACAAGGCACCAUCCCUCCUCAACUUGGAAACCUCUCUUCACUCACAACACUUAAUCUUAGUCAUAACAAGCUUUCUGGAAGCGUUCCCUCCUCCAUCUACACCAUGCAUAGGCUAAAAUUUCUUGACUUCACUGAUAACCAGCUCUCUGGUUCGGUGUCUUCCUUCGUCUUCAACAUGUCUUCAAUAUUAGACAUUCGUUUGACCAAUAACAGACUUUCUGGUGAGCUUCCGAAAAAUAUUUGCAACUAUCUUCCUCAUUUGAAAGCCCUUUUUUUGGACAAAAACAUGUUUCAUAGCAAAAUUCCUUCUGCUUUAUCAAAGUGCAAACAACUGCAACAAUUAAAUUUGCAGUUCAAUAAUUUAUCCGGUGCAAUACCAAAAGAAAUCGGCAACUUGACUAGGCUCAAAGGGAUAUAUCUCGGCGCCAACAAACUCCACGGUAUGUUCAUAAUACUAUGUAAAUAUUUUAAUUUCUCACUUGUUAUUUUUCUUGAAUACUUUAGAUAAGAUCAUGUAACGGAGAUUUUUUUGCAUCUAUGUUAAUUUGCCAGGUGAGAUACCGCACGAAAUCGCUAAUCUUCGAAAUCUAGGGGAUUUAGUGCUUGGAAUGAACAACCUAGUUGGUGUGUUACCAGCUCCAAUCUUCAACAUGUCAACACUGAAGGUACUUAUCCUCAUAAACAACUCUCUCAGCGGAAGUCUUCCAUCAAGAAUAGACCUUUCACUUCCAACGGUUGAGGUUCUUAUCUUGUCACUUAAUAGAUUUUCUGGAACCAUUCCUAGUUCCAUCACCAAUGCUUCUAAGCUCGCCUUGCUAGAAUUGGGAGUAAACACAUUUUCGGGAUUUAUUCCAAACACAAUUGGUAAUUUAAGAAACCUUGAGUGGCUCGGCUUGGGUAAUAACUACUUGACAUCUUCAACCUCAAAAUUGAGCUUUCUUUCCUCUUUGGCAAAUUGCAAGAAAUUAAGAGACAUAGGCUUAACAGGCAAUCCACUCAACGGUAUCCUUCCAAGUUCAAUAGGUAAUCUUUCCAUGUCUUUGAAAACACUUUACAUCGGCAAUUGCAGUAUUAGUGGCAACAUUCCUCAAUCAAUUGGCAAUUUAAGCAACUUAUUGGCCUUAGUAUUAGAAGUCAAUAAAUUGACUGGACCUAUCCCAACUACAUUCGGCCGACUGCAGAAACUCCAAGGCUUAUAUCUUGCAUUCAAUAAGUUGGUAGGUUCAUUCCCAGAUGAGCUUUGCCAUCUAGCAAGGCUGGAUCAAUUGGUCUUAUUUGGCAAUAAGCUUUCAGGAUCUAUACCUUCAUGCUUAAGUAAUCUCACUUCUCUGAGAUCUCUCUACUUAGGGUCCAAUAGGUUUACUUCUGUCAUUCCCUCAACUUUCUGGAGCCUAAAAGACAUCUUGUUCUUUGACUUUUCAUCAAAUUUCUUGGUGGGUCCUCUUUCUUCAGACAUAGGUAAUUUGAAGGUGCUUCUAGGAAUAAAUUUAUCAGAAAAUAACUUAUCGGGUGAUAUGCCAGCCACAAUUGGAGGACUAAAAAACCUUCAAAUUAUGGACCUAGCAUAUAAUAGAUUGGAAGGCCCAAUUCCUGAAUCAUUUGGUGACUUGACAAGUUUGGAGGUUUUGAAUUUGUCAAAUAAUAAAAUCUCCGGGUCUAUUCCAAAAUCCUUGGGGAAACUCUUUUACCUCCGAGAGUUAAAUCUCUCUUUCAAUGAACUAGAAGGUGAGAUUCCUAGUGGAGGAAUUUUUGCCAACUUCACAGCUGAGUCAUUUAUGGGAAAUGAGUUAUUGUGUGGUUUACCAAAUCUUCAAGUCCAACCAUGCAAAGUUAGCAAGCCGAGGACAGAACAUAAAUCAAGGAAAAAGAUACUUCUCAUUGUGAUUGUUUUGCCAUUGAGUAUUGCUCUAACGAUAGCAAUCACUCUAGCUCUCCAAUCUAAGCUGAUCGAAUGUGGAAAAAGAAGCACGGUGUUAUCAAAUGAUAGUAUCUUGUCAUCACAAGCAACACUAAGAAGAUUUUCAUACUUAGAACUUUUACGAGCAACAGAUAAUUUUGCUGAAAACAGCAUAAUUGGCAGAGGAGGUUUUGGUUCCGUUUAUGGAGCAAGACUUGAAGAUGGGAUGAAGAUUGCAAUAAAAGUGUUUCACCAGCAAUGUGCAAGCGCAUUGAAGAGUUUUGAGGCUGAAUGUGAAGUGUUAAAAAAUAUUCGCCAUCGAAACCUUAUCAAAGUUAUCAGCAGUUGCUCGAACGAUGACUUCAAAGCAUUAGUCCUAGAAUACAUGUCCAACGGGAGCUUAGGGGAUUGGCUGCAUUCGAGCAAUUACGUGCUGAAUAUUUUUCAAAGGUUGAACAUAAUGAUUGACGUUGCAUCAGCUUUAGAAUAUCUCCACUUUGAUCAUUCAACUCCUAUUAUUCAUUGUGACUUAAAGCCUAGUAAUGUAUUGUUGGAUGAAAAUAUGGUUGCUCAUUUGAGUGAUUUUGGCAUAGCAAAGCUUUUAAGUGGAGAGGAUGAGUCUACGAUGCGAACAAAAACCCUUGCCACUAUAGGUUAUAUGGCACCAGGUUUGCUUCAAACAACUUUUUUUUAAAGUUCAUUUUAAAUUUUCCAACUUAUUGAUUUUUACAAUCCUCAUAUCAAAAUGUUAUUGAUUAUUUAUCUAAUUGUGAAAUUAAUUUGAUUAAUAGAGUACGGCAUUGAAGGAGAAGUAUCUACAAAAAGUGAUGUUUACAGCUAUGGGAUUAUGUUGAUGGAAACUUUUACCAAGAAAAAACCCACAGAUGAAAUUUUUGUUGGGGAAUUGAGCUUAAAGCGUUGGGUUAAUGACUUGCUUCCUACUUCAUUAGUGGAAGUUGUGGACAAAACUCUGCUAAGUGGAGAGGAAAAACAUUCUGCAGCAAAGGAGCAAUGUCUGUUGUCUAUCUUUAGUUUGGCUCUGGAGUGUACAAUGGAAUCACCGGAAAAGAGGAUUAAUGCAAAAGAUAUUGUUACUAGAUUACUCAAGAUAAGAGACACAUUGAGUAAAAGGAUCGGAAAUUUAAGUUAAUUUCGUUUGCUUUCAUUGAUAGUUAAUCUGAAUUCAUGUAAUAAGUGUAGGAAUCUUAUAUCUUUUCCUUUCAUAUAUUUUUUUUUCUUGAGAAAACUGUUGUAGUCAUCUUGUUUCCAUGGACAGAGUUGAUUUAGUUCUUCCAAAAAAUGCUACUGAUGACCUUUGUUUAAUACUUUCUCUUUUUUUGCAUGUGUUUAGGUAGAACAGUGGUUUGGCUGCAGGCUAAGAAGUCUAACUACACUAAAAGAAUAUGAUUUAAUUUAUUAAACAAAACUUCAAGUUCAAGAAAAGUAUUUCACUGCCCCCAAUGCUUUGGACACCUACUUGUUGCGGACCGCCCAAUUCGCUAGCCCAAUUGCCCACAAUUUCGGGCUAGAGAGCCAACACAAGGCCAAGAGUGCUAGCUUGGCCCAAUUCCGAAAGGUUCUAGGCAACUCUAGCACAUGUGAACAUGUAAAUAUUCUAGAAUACUUUAUACAAUUCCAGCACAUGCAAAUAGCUAGGAAAUUGUAAAAUACUCUAGAGUUUGACCAAGUUUGGCAAAGUUAGGCAAAGUUAGGCAAAGCCUCCCCUAUAAAUAUGGGAUGGCAUUAGGCAUUUGUAUCCAAAAAGCUUUGUAAGCAACUUAAGCAUUGUAUUCUCUCUUUGUGCAAUACAAGUUUUCUUCUUUGGCUCAAUUGCUCUCUUCUCUAGUUCGAGAAGCUCUAGGCUUACUUAGCAACAUUCGGCAAAGUUGUCUAAGUGCCGCACGGGUUAGCUGCGCAAAACACUCAUCUCGUGACAAGUGGUAUCAGAGCUAAGGUUUGCACGCACGCAAAUUAGCUCACGAAGCAAUGGCCAACCCUUCGAACGUAGCACAAGAGGGUGUUGUUGGUGUGGAUGUUCCACCGGAACUAAGCCGUGGCCGAGAGGGAGAACGUGCCCAAGGCAAGACUCGCGGCAAGUCCAAGGCCCUAUCCGUGGAUGCGUUGGAGCCUCGUGUAGGCACUCUCGAAAUCGCAUUGUCCACCGCUCAAGAAAGCCUCGAGGGAUUGGAGGAACGAGUGGACGGACUCGAGGGAGAAUACGCCGAAUUCACGGUGGCAACCAAAGCUCUCAUCCAAGAACAAGCAAACACUCUUCGAGGUGAGUGUUCAAGACGAACUACGCGCUGUCCGUGCGGAAGUGGAUGAAGUCCGCUCGGAUUGGGCAUGGCACAAGCGCACACUCUCCUCAAGUCCAGCUUCCGCAAACUCGAGUGAUGCGCGCCGCAUUGACGUGCCAAAGCCCGACACCUACGAUGGCACACGCAAUGCCACAAUCGUGGAUAAUUUCCUCUUUGGUCUGGAUCAAUACUUUAAUGCCAUGGGUGUACGAGAUGAGGCAUCGAAAGUGGGCACUGCACCCACCUAUCUUAGAGGCGCUGCACAACUAUGGUGGCGUCGCAAACAUGGCGAGAUGGGCAAGGGCAUUUGCACCAUCGACAUUUGGUCCGACUUCAAGCAAGAACUCCGAAAGCAGUUCGCCCCAAGCAAUGCGGAGAAGGAAGCGCGAGCGCGCUUACGUCGCCUCAAGCAAUCGGGUAGCAUUCGGGACUACAUCAACGAGUUCACUACCCUUAUGUUGGAGAUAAGCGACAUGUCCAACAAGGAUUCACUCUUCUACUUCCAAGAUGGCCUCAAGGAUUGGGCCAAAACCGAGCUUGAUAGGCGUGGUGUUCAAACACUUGACGACGCCAUCGCCAUUGCGGAAUCGCUCACCGAAUACUCUACCCAAUCCAAAGACAAGAAGUCUAGCCAAGGCAAAGGUGGGGGAGAGAGUCGUAAGGACAAGGGCAACAACCGCAAAGAUUGGGGGCAGAAAAAGCCGCCUAGCAACAAGAGCUGGCAGGGAAAAUCGGAGGGCAAGAAGGAGGCGCCAAAGCCACGAAGCCCAUGCUUCAUAUGCAAUGGUCCUCAUUGGGUACGCGACUGUCCGGAGAAGCGGUCGCUUAAUAUUCUUGCUGCCCAACUCAAGAGCAACCCCACAAUGUCCGUGGAGGAACCCCAACUUAGCAUGGGUUCUCUCCAACGCCUCGGCGCCCUCAACCGCCAACAGCCCGCGCUAGUCAAGAAAGGGCUCAUGUAUGUUAGCGCAAAGGUAAACAGCCAGUCCGUUCGCGCGUUGCUAGACACGGGAGCAACACACAAUUUCGUGUCCGUAGAUGAGGCCAAGCGUUUAGGCCUCAAGGCCACCAAGGAAUGAGGCACAAUGAAGGCAGUAAACUCACCCGCCAAGCCAAUUGCGGGAAUUGCACAAGGCGUACACAUCACACUUGGUACGUGGAGCGGAAAGCUUGACUUCUCCAUCCUGCCCAUGGACGACUUCAAGAUGGUCCUGGGCAUGGAAUUCUUCGACCAAGUCUAUGCCUUCCCGCUGCCUACUACGAACUCCCUAAGCAUCCUCGAUGGGAGUAAAGCAUGCAUGGUACCCACGGAGCGAGGCAAGUCCGAGGAGAAGACACUCUCCACCAUGCAAUUCAAAAGGGCUUUCAAGAAGGACCCAAGCUUCUUGGUCUCCAUUCGGGAACUAAAUGAGGAAAGAAAUAGCGGAACGUCGCCAAGCCAAGUCCCUCCGCAAAUAUACAGAGUCCUCAAUGAGUACGAGGAUGUGAUGCCUCCAGAACUUCCGAAGAAGCUCCCACCUCGACGAGAGGUAGAUCAUGCGAUCGAGCUAGAACAAGGCGCGAAGCCAACAGCCUUGGCGCCCUACCGUAUGGCGCCAUCUGAAUUAGAGGAGUUGCGGAGACAACUCAAAGACUUGCUGGACGCAGGCUACAUUCGCCCCUCAAAGGCCCCAUUCAGUGCACCCGUGCUCUUCCAAAAGAAAAAGGAUGGAUCGCUGCGGAUGUGCAUCGACUAUAGAGCGCUCAACAAGAUCACUAUCAAGAACAAGUAUCUGAUUCCCGUGAUUGCGGACUUGUUCGACCAGCUUGGCAAAGCGCGGUACUUCACCAAACUUGACUUGCGCUCCGGGUAUUAUCAAGUGCGCAUCGCCAAGGGAGAUGAACCGAAGACAGCGUGCACAACAAGGUACGGGUCUUUCGAAUUCCUUGUGAUGCCUUUUGGUCUUACUAAUGCACCCGCCACAUUUUGCACGCUCAUGAACAAGGUGCUCCAACCAUUCCUCGACUGCUUCGUGGUCGUGUACUUGGAUGACAUAGUGGUGUAUAGCACCACGCUCGAGGAUCAUGCCCGACAUUUGCGACAAGUCCUCCAAGUACUUCGAGACAACGAGCUCUUCCUCAAACUAGAGAAGUGCUCGUUUGCCCAACAAGAAGUGGAGUUCCUUGGCCAUAAGAUUGCGGGUGGGAAGAUCAUGAUGGAGAAUGACAAAGUAAAGGUCAUCCUCGAUUGGGAGCCUCCCUCGAAAGUACCCGAACUUCGCUCAUUCCUUGGACUGGUGAAUUACUACCGCCGCUUCAUCAAGGGCUAUUCAGCUAAGGCGGCACCCUUGACGAAUAUGCUCAAGAAAAACAGAACAUGGCAUUGGUCCGAAGAGUGCCAACGCGCAUUCGAGGAGUUGAAAAGAACAAUUUCGGAGGAACCCGUCCUCGCUCUUCCGGACCACACAAAGCCCUUCGAAGUGCAAACGGAUGCCUCGGAUUUCGCCAUAGGAGGAGUCCUUAUGCAAGAAGGCCACCCUAUAGCGUUCGAGAGUCGAAAGCUAAAUGAUACAGAACGCCGCUACACGGUGCAAGAAAAGGAGAUGACCGCAAUCAUACAUUGCUUGCGGGUGUGGCGACAUUACUUGCUUGGCUCGUACUUCACGAUUAUGACGGAUAACGUGGCGACAAGCUACUUUCAAACUCAGAAGAAGUUGAGUCCGAAGCAAGCACGGUGGCAAGAUUUCCUUGCGGAAUUCGACUACCGGCUGGAGUACAAACCGGGGAAAGCCAAUGUCGUUGUGAACGCUCUAAGCCGCAAGGCCGAAUUGGCGACACUUAGCAUGAGCCAACCAAAGUCUGACCUUGUCUCACGCAUCAAGGAAGGCCUCCAACAAGAUCCGCUAGCCAAGGAUUUGCUGGAGAAGGUGCUCGAGGGAAAGACAAGACGAUUUUGGCAAGAGGAAGGCAUCCUCCUCACCAAGGGAGAUCGGCUAUUCGUGCCAAGGUGGGGAAACUUGCGGAAGGAAGUAAUCAAGGAGUGCCACGACUCUAAGUGGGCCGGUCACCCAGGAAUCGAGCGCACCACCGCACUAGUUCAAGCCUCGUAUUUUUGGCCGCACAUGAGGGACGACAUCGAGGCAUAUGUGCGAACUUGUCUUGUGUGCCAACAAGACAAAGUGGAUCAUCAACUUCCAGCGGGAUUGUUGGAGCCGUUACCACUAGCAACAAGGCCAUGGGAAAGUGUCUCCAUGGAUUUCAUCACAUCGCUGCCCAAGUCCGAAGGUUGUGGAAGCAUCAUGGUCGUUGUCGACCGAUACAGCAAAUAUGCCACAUUCAUUGCCGCACCAGCCGAUUGCAAAGCGGACGAGGCAGCCCGCCUAUUCGUCAAGCACAUUGUGAAGCUUUGGGGAGUUCCGAAGAGCAUUGUGAGCGACCGAGACCCUCGAUUCACUGGACGCUUUUGGACGGAACUCUUCAAAAUGUUGGGGACCGAUCUCAAGUUCUCGACAAGCUUCCACCCACAAACGGAUGGGCAGACCGAGCGCAUUAAUGGCCUCCUCGAGAUGUACCUGAGGCAUUAUGUGAGCGCUCACCAGCGGGAUUGGGCGAAGCUACUCGACAUUGCCCAAUUUUCUUAUAACUUGCAGCGAAGUGAGGCUACGGGCAAGAGUCCAUUCGAGAUCAUCAUGGGAUUUCAGCCCAUGACCCCCAAUGCCAUAGCCUCGACUUACGGAGGGAAAAGCCCCGCGGCACACAAGCUCGCCCGCGAAUGGCAUGAGGAAGCGGACAUCACGCGAGCCUAUCUCGACAAAGCCGCGAGGAAAAUGAAGAAAUGGGCUGAUACAAGGAGACGGCAUGUUGAGUACAAGGAAGGAGAUCAAGUCAUGAUCAAGCUCCUACCCCAACAAUUCAAGACUUUGCGGAAAGUUCACAAGGGGUUAGUGAGGUGCUACGAGGGAUCCUUCCGAGUUGUUCGACGUGUAGGCAACGUCUCGUAUCAACUCCAACUUCCGCCAAGACUCAAGAUCCAUCCGGUCUUCCAUGUGAGCCUUCUCAAGCCAUAUCAUGAAGACAUGGGAGAACCAAGUCGCGGAGAAUUGAGGCGCGCGCCAACUGCCGUUGUCACCGCGUUCGACAAAGAUGUGGACUACAUCAUUGCGGACCGAACGGUUUCGAGGAGGGGCGUGCCAGCACAUAGCGAGUACUUGGUGAAAUGGAAAAACCUCCCCGAGAGCGAAGCCACUUGGGAACGGGAAGAUGAUUUGUGGCAAUUCGCUGAGCACAUCCAGCACUUCAAGCACGAGAGCGCGACGAGGACGCCGCGAGCUUAGGUGGGGGAGGAUGUUGCGGACCGCCCAAUUCGCUAGCCCAAUUGCCCACAAUUUCGGGCUAGAGAGCCAACACAAGGCCAAGAGUGCUAGCUUGGCCCAAUUCUGGAAGGUUCUAGGCAACUCUAGCACAUGUGAACAUGUAAAUAUUCUAGAAUACUUUAUACAAUUCCAGCACAUGCAAAUAGCUAGGAAAUUGUAAAAUACUCUAGAGUUUGACCAAGUUUGGCAAAGUUAGGCAAAGUUAGGCAAAGUUAGGCAAAGCCUCCCCUAUAAAUAUGGGAUGGCAUUAGGCAUUUGUAUCCAACAAGCUUUGUAAGCAACUCAAGCAUUGUAUUCUCUCUUUGUGCAAUACAAGUUUUCUUCUUUGGCUCAAUUGCUCUCUUCUCUAGUUCGAGAAGCUCUAGGCUUACUUAGCAACAUUCGGCAAAGUUGUCUAAGUGCCGCACGGGUUAGCUGCGCAAAACACUCAUCCCGUGACAUACUGGUAGGUAUGUACGUGUCCUCAACUUUUUUUCGGAGCACAAAAUUCGAGUCCCAUGGAGACUCAAACAUUCCUUUCCCACAUCCCGAGCACGCUAAAUUCAUCAGACUAACAACUGUGACAUAUACAAGAGUGAAAUGUUUAGAGAACGCUAAGUACUAUGAAAGAGAUUAGUUUACGAAAACUGAAGCCAAGGGUUCAUAAAAAAGUGCAAAGAGAAUAAAGGACAACGCUUAUGUAAAGCGACAUAGUUGUAUUCAUAGCACAAUGUCAUAUUCAUACAGAGAUCUAGAAUAUUAUUUACAGCUGGUAAGGGCUAAGAAUUGAUGUAGCUAGAAUACAAAGACGAUAAGGUAUGUUGUGCACUAUUGUUUUAUUCUACGAUCAAUCUUGACCCUUGAUGCUUGGCUCUCAAUCUUGUCCAUUGAUCUUCUUUGAUUUUGGACACUUCAAGACCUUUCAGUAUCAUUCCUUGUUAUUGGUGUCUUCCGUGCUGUAGAAUUCAUAUACAAGCCUUCCCGCCGACUUGCCAAUUAUUUGUUCAUUGGUGCGUUUUGUCAAGCAGUGUGGAUACUUAUACCAAACGCUUUCUGUUUUAACUCCCCCUUUCAAGCUCAACUAUCUGGGAAGACACUAAUAAGCUUGUUUCUCAAGUAUAUGUAUGUGAAAAUUAAAAUUUCAAAAUAAUAUUCGGACUCUACAUUUUCUAAUGAACAUUGGUUUGGCUCAUAAGCUUAUUAUACUUGGGCUUGGUAGGAUUAUCGGUCGGUAGAUGAACAAGUGUUAGAGCUUUCGAAUUUAUGCCAAUUAAAAAAAAAAAAAUCUAUAUAAAUUUUCCACUAGGCUAUUACCACAAUAAACAUUUGGAUGAACUAUUAUUGAAACCUUAUUGAGAAGUAGGACAUGUCGCAUACCAAUGCACUGACAUAUCUUCAAAUAGUGGUAACUCCACACAACAUGGCACAAUAAAUUAAGAGUUAUAUAGAUAAAAUCUUUCACUCUUUGGUAAUCAUCAAUGUCGGCAUGGCAAUGCGUCCGACAAAAUUCAUAAAUCAAAACAAAAAUAGAGAAUCAUAUUUGUUCCAGAUUGUAGUGAUGGUUGUUGAUGCACUCACAAUUUACAAUUUUAUUUAAUAUCUUCACAUUCGCAUUUUAAAAUGCACAAAUGUUUGUGUAUACAUAAUUAGUAAUCGAUUCUCAAGCAUGGACAUUUAAAAGCACUGCUGAAAGACAAAAUUUUAAUUUACUAUUUUUUGUCUUUUAAUUUUCUUUAAGUUUUAAUGAUUCCGCAUUUUGGCGAAGGAAUUGCAACCGCAUUUGGAGCUAGUUUUAAUUUUGUCUUUUAAUUCUUUUACACUUGGCUUUUGUUAUUGAUGUUAACUUCGAUGUGUGUGCGUGUGCGACUGAAUUCAACUUACACGCUAUUGAUGCAGCCACCAAAAAGGGGUGGUCCAUCAUCAAUCAACAAGGUUUAUUAUUAUUUCCAUAUUGAUUUUCUUAAUUAUAAAUAAUACUAAUGCUAUUUCAUAGUUAUAAAUAUAUUAGAAUUAAUCGAAAUCAUUUUUUAGUGUGGCAUGGCUAAAACUACCUUUUUUUUUUAUAAGUAAUUACUACUUUCACAUUAAGAAAAAAUACUCCUAUUUUUAAGGAAAAGUCAAGUACCUGUAGUUGUGAAGACUCGAGCUCACUCCCUUAUGAUAAAUCUUCAUAUUAAUUACGUAAAUAUCCUCUAAAAUUUUAAAUUAACUAUUCAAAAUUCGAUGUUAUACAGGUAUUUCAUUUAUUUGAGUAGGGGUUAGGGGUCAAUUGGAUACAAAUUCAAAAUUAUCCUUACUUGAGAAGGUGAUAAAAAUUGGGGAUUUAGUUUGGAUGUCAUUAGCUACAAAUAUUAAACUCAUACAUUUAAUUCAAAAUUAGAGGGCUGAUAUAUGCGCAUCAUCGUGCACGUUAUAGUGACACUGCGUCACCAUUCCACAACCUCUCCAAUGAAAAAUUGACAUGCUUCUUGUGCGCAUCUAAUCAGAAUCUUGAAAAUUAAUCACAAAAUUGUACUUUUAUUAUAAAAAGAAUAAAGAAACUCCAAGAAAAAAAAAAGACUUACAUAAAUAGAUUGAAAAAUCUAGAUUUCAAGUUGUCUAUAUUAGCUUGAUAUUUUUAUUAAUAGUCAUCCUCCCAAAAAAAUUCCAUCAAAAUAUAUUUUAAUUUUAUGUUAAUUCAUAAACAUGAAAAAAUCAUUUUAGAAUUAAUUAAAACAUAAUUUAUUGUUGCUCAAAAAAGGUAGAACUUAGUGAUCAGAAAAAAAGUAUCUAAAAUAUAUGUUAAAAAAAAUCAUGGUUGGUUAGACUGAUUGAAUUUUUUUUCUUUUUUAAGAAUUAAGACAAUUGGAUGGAUUCAGUAAUAAUAAUACAUAUUUAUUUGGCAAAUGGCAGGGAGGCUUUCGUCUGAUGCAGAUUGAUUAGAGAGAAAAUAUAACAAUUUUAAGCUCGUCAGAUUCGAAGCUGCUUACCUGUCGUGGGGGGAUCACUUCCGGUGCAUGUUGUCGUGUUAAAUUCUCGUUGACUUCACGUUGACUGAAGCAUUAUUGGAAGAAACAAGUUUAUUGAUGUGAGGCCUUUGAGAUUGUAAGUGUUAAAUCUGAGAAGAAUACCCACACACCCAUUAUCCUAUUACUCUUCUAUCACAUGAAGAGAAUUCAACAUUUGAUUCACACGGAAAAAAAAUUUGUGAGGAUUGUGAGGGUUGAUGGAAUAUAAUUUAGAUACAAAGUGUUUACCAGUGCGAUGCUUCGCAAGUGUUCUUGAAUCAAUAUAAACUCACAUUAUUUUCAUAGCGAUUGUUUCAUCUGCACGUGGAUAUAAUCACAUGUCGAGAUUUUUUUCCUUAAAUUAUGAUCUUAUUUAGUAUUGAGGUGUUAUAUCUUUUAAGGUACAAUUAUUGUUGGAAAAAAGUUGCAACUAUCAAAUAAAAUUAAUACUAUGUGCUAAAUAUAAUUGUUAAAUAAUAAUUUUGACAAAAUUAGUGAAGUUAUAUAGAUUUUUUUUCAUCAUCCAAGUAUAAAAUCAAAUCAACUUAACUUCUAAGUUCUAUAUCGGCUACUGUUUAUCAUAUGUUUUAGUUCUGUAACUUUUAAAUUAUAGUUACCCAACCUCAAUUCUAAACAAGACCUAUAACGAUAAAAAAUUUCCUCAUUAAAUUAUAUGUCUUGUGAUUGCUUAUUUAAUUUAUAUUUUUGUUAUUUAUCUUUAUUAAUUAUAAUCAUCUUUUUAUAAAUUAAAAUUGAAGGAAGUUGAUUGAUGUUGUUGACACACACACACGCACGCACACACUCGCAAAGAUAUAUUGGAAGUGCUUACGUCGACUCGAAGUUGUUGGGAAUUAAUGCAUGUAUUGAUUUAUUGGGAGUGUUUAAAUUGAUUUAUUAAUUGAAUAUUGUUUGAUUGCUUCAUAUCCAUUCUAGAAAGUUUAUUUCUUUGUGAAAUUUCAACGAAAUAUGUUUUUUUUUUUAAAUAAGGGUGUUCUAAAUCAUUUUAAAAAAUAUAUGGACUAAUUAGAAUUAAUUAUUAGGUAAUUAACUCAAUUUGUACAGGGUGAAACAACAUUUAUCCUAAUUAUAUCAUGAUAAAUACUUUUUUGAUUAGAAUUAGGAAAUCAUAGGUUUAUUGAAUUGUUUUUUUUUUCCUUUGCGGAAAUGGAUUAGAGAAUUAGAAAACAAUCAUGUUGAUGUCAAAAUCUGAUCUAGUCGGUUAGCGACUUAAUAUCAUAUUACUGCACCAGCAUUAAAUUUAUUUGGUAGAGAAUUGGCUGGUCAAUUGUCAAGAUGUCCUGCAAUCACUAGCGAUUAACCUACGAAUACCUGAAAUCACAAAAGACGGUAAGAGGCACUAGAAAUUUUUUCGGCGUGAACCUUCUGACGCUCAAGUCAGUUUAUAGGUUUACCAUAAUAAAAAUAAAUAAUUUCUAUUUAAAACAAAAAAUAAAGUUCAAAAGCUCAAAAAUAAAACCCAAUCCCAAUAUGAAAAUGAAUUUCUUUUUUUUUUUUAGCUUGGCCGAAUCCUUCUGCCUCCUAAAGAAACAUAAUAGAGAAGCAGGUAGCCAUGUUCCCUAGGUAACGCCCCACUCCCCUCUUUUAUUCCUCCCCCUCUCUUCCGUUUCCUUCUUUUGCUCACUAUCCUUUAUAAUUUUUUAUGCUUGUCUUCCCAAAAUAGCCUUUGAAUACACAAGUAAAUGUCUAGGCUUUGGUGAGGAUAGUUUGGUCAUUGCAUUUUACAAGUAAGAUGAGUGGUGGAGAAAAAUGAGGAGUGCACAUAACUCUUCAGCAAAUCCCACCAACAAUUCCAUUUUCUUAAUUAAUUAAUCUCCUUUUUUAUCCCCAAACAAAUCCUAAUGAUACUCUUAUCAGGUUUAAAACAGUACACAAAUAGUGAAAAGCUAACUAGUCUGUAGAGUAAUUUGCUAAUUGCUAUCUCCUCUCUACGCGCGCUGAAUAAUUUGUUGCAUGCAAACUUUUUAUUUUAUGCAAAUCGUACGUACUGUAACAUUGGAAUUGAUGGAUAAGCAAAAAUACAAUAAUAUUUAUGCCAAUAAAAAUAGUUUUUUUUCCUUUUUAAAUAAACACAACGCGAUGUUGCUCUGCUCUACAUUUUUGCUAUCUCUUUAUUCUUUUUUUUUUUUUGGGCUUCUUAAAGCCUCAAACUUUGACAACCAAAACUUCAUCGACCUAUGAAAAAAUCUGCAGAUUAGUUUUUAUUAUCGGAAUAAUUGUUUGAGAAUACUAAAACAAAAUAUAAAAUAAGAAAAUAGGGGGUUAAAUUAGAGGGGGAAAAAAGCCAUGUUCUAUCGAUUACUAUAGUUUAAGAAAACAAAAUCCAAUUGGGAAUUUUUUUCUUUAAUUUUUGUUUUACUUGAUUGAGAUUUCUCCUUAGUCCUUACAGUUUUAAGUUUGGAUGCCGUAGGGUUAGUAAUUUAGUACUUCCUUUGCAAGCUGAGGGCAAGAAUGAAAAUCUUUAAAGAAAUUAAAAAAGAUUAAAAAAAAGCAUACCAAUAGGUAAUUAUAAAUAACCAUAAAUAAACAUAAACAAAAUAUUUAUGAAGUAAAUUACACAUGCACAUAUUAUUUUUUUGUUUUAUUUCUUACUUGUCUAUUUUAUUUGUCUAUUUUAUUUGCUGCUUGAUAACCCGUAAAUACUAAUCUAGUACUGCUAAUUUCAGACACAAAAUUUUUAACUCUAGGCUGCAGUUUUGCUCAAAAUGAUGACCACUGGCUUCGCACCAUUUAACCGGCAUACAUUUCUACAAAUUGAACAAGGCUAUUGAUUUUCAUUAUUAUUUUUUAUUUAUUUAUAAAUUACUAUUUUAAUUUUCACUUUUUAUUGGGUUGUUUACAAUUUUAUUUUAUAAUUUCAAAUUUGUAUUUUAAAAUGCAGGUACAUUAUGUAUACAUAAUUAUUGAUUUUCAUAUGUGGGUGUUUUGAAAUAUUGCUAAAAGACCAAACUUAAUAAACUAUUUUUCAUCUUUUUUUCCCUUUUUUCCUAAAGGUUGAGUGAUAUCCGCAUUUUAAAUUCAUGUGGAACAAAAGCUAAUGAAUGCACAAAAUUAUUUUAUUUUUUCCGAGAAAAAUGGGUAAGAGAAGAAGAUUUUUCUCUUGAAAAAGAAAAACUAAUACGAUGCAAACAUAGGAAAGAGGUCAGUGUUUUGGAUUAGAAUUUAUUAUUGACCUGAAUUUUAUACUAAACUCUUUUAUAGUACUGCGAUUAAUGAACUCAUGAUUUGCUUUUGCUUUUACUUCAAGUGAAAGAAAGAGGAAACCUUUUGUUUUUUGUUUGAUUCUUGACUAUAGAUGUUACCUAUAUAGAGAGUUGAGGUAGCUGCCUUAAGUGAUGGUGAUAAAAAGAUUAAGCAGCGCACAAAAUCUGACUGUCGUCCAGACCAUCCAGCUGUGAUGGCUCUAGUUUUUUGGUUACAUUAGCUUUAGUGGAAAGGAGGGCCAAUUUAACAAAGACUAGAUUUGGUGGCUUACUAUAAUGCUUAUUCUCAAGGAAUCUAAUGUUAUAAGAUGAUUUAAUGAUCUUCUAUGAUUGUGAGUAGUAUAGUAUAAUUGAAAAGAGCCUGGGCUCCUAUGAUGAAUAUUUAAUAGUAACACAAUAUUGUGAUUGAAAAAAACACUGUUACAAUAAACUCUUCAUUUAUUCAUUGCGGAUAUUGAAUGGCAAACAGAGAAUAAAAUGAAGCAGAGGAAUCUCAUUGCUAGUAAAAUUGACCCUCUUUAAUGUUAUAUGGCACAGGUGUGUGUACAGCAAGAGCAAGUGACUUGCAGUUUUUUUUUGUAAAAUAUACAGGUUAUGACCAUGAUCAUUGUAGUUAGGUUUUGAUGAUUUUAGAUGCUUUUUUAUUUUUUUUAAAUUGUGACACCUUUGAUUUAUGGUAGUUUUGCAGAAGAAAAAAAUAUAUAUAAAAAUUAGGAAGAAUGAGUUAACUAACAAUUGCAAUCAUUACAACAAUGUUGAUGAGUGAUACAUCAUUUGAAAUUUACAUGUCAGUUGCUAAAAUGAUGAAAAAAAACAAUAAACAAUAGCAGUAAUAUUUUUAUGGAAAUUCUUGGUUUUUAUGGAAAUACUCUUGCUGAAAUUCUAAUUUUGACUUUCAACUCUUGGUUUUUAUGGAAAGUAAAAUGACUUGUUUGUUAUAUUCAUACAAUCCACUCUACAUAAUGAUUUCAUUUUUAAUAAAUGCUUGAUGAUCUCCACUGAAAAACUACUUCAAUUCUUUUGUUUUAUUUAACUUUUUGGUUGUUGAAAAUAGCCUUAAUUUUCAAAUAAUUGGAGAAAGAGUAAAGAACAUUUAACAAAUUUAUGUGCCAAAAAUAAAGGAGAAAUUGAAGAGAAAGGGUGCUUGCAGAAGUGGGUGCAAAGAUAAAUCAGUCUAUAAGAAUUAUUGUGGUUAUUAAUUUUUUGGCAAUAUAAAAAUUCUUCAGCAAAUAAAAAUUGAUUUUUUUCCGAUUUACUAAAAAAUUAAUUAAAAAAUUCGGCCACAGCAUUUUUUAUGGGUGCAUAUACCCUCCCUUUAAAAAAAAAUAAUAAUUAAUGCUUAAUAUAGUAUUAAAUACCAAAAUAUCAAUAUUUGGCUACUCAAAUUUAUAUCAUUAGGUCCUUCAAAUUUAAAAUUGAAGAUACAAAAGGAAAUAUAUAUAAAUUUCAUUCUCAUGGAAAGGAUUCUCUUAUAAUCUUAUAAUAUUUGAGUUUUGAAAUUUUUUGAAACAAAUGUAAUUUUAUUUGUGUACAAUCAAUAUUUACUUAUUUAUUAUAUUUUAAUUUGUUAACUAUCAAUCAUUUAAGUAUAUUUGGUCAGAAAAAUUAUAUCAAGAGAGAAUCCUAAUUUCACGCAAACACAAAUACAAGAUAAAUAUGUCAAUUUCUAUACUAUUCACUUUCCUGUAGAAUCAAUUAUCUAAAAUGCAAGUUUGUGGCUACAGAAAACUAAUGCAUCAUUUUCUUCUUGAUUUGAUGAGAUGACGCCAUUACAAAAAAAUAAGUACCUUAAUUGACGGGCACUGAGUGAUGUGAAUACUACCAGCCAGUUCAUCUCUUCCAGUCUUGCUUAAUCACAAUCACAAACACCACGAGAUUGACAUUUGCAUUAUAUAUAUCUUCAGCAAUCGAAACACCUUGCAUUACCAAAUUAACCGGUAACAAACAAAGCAAUCUUUCAUGGAGAGAAACUUUAGUCUCAGUAUGAUCACUGUGUCAUUAACCCACUUCCUGCUUCUUUGCUUGGUUGUUGCAGCAGCAGCAGCCGCAAGCAACAAUAUUACCACAGACCAACAAGCUCUUCUUGCCCUGAAAGAUCAUAUAACUUAUGAUCCAACCAACCUUUUUGCCCAUAAUUGGACCUCGAAUACCUCUGUUUGUACCUGGAUUGGCAUCACUUGUGAUGUCAAUAGCCAUAGAGUCACAGCCUUAGAUAUUUCUCAAUUCAAUCUACAAGGCACCAUCCCUCCUCAACUUGGAAACCUCUCUUCACUUACAACGCUUAAUCUUAGUCAUAACAAGCUUUCUGGAGACGUUCCAUCCUCCAUCUACACCAUGCAUUCGCUAAAAUUUCUUGACUUCACUGAUAACCAGCUCUCUGGUUCAGUGUCUUCCUUCGUCUUCAGCAUGUCUUCAAUAUUAGAAAUUCUUUUGACCAAUAACAGAUUUUCUGGUGAGCUUCCGAAAAAUAUUUGCAACUAUCUUCCUUAUUUGAAAGCCCUUUUCUUAAACAAAAACAUGUUUCAUGGCAAAAUUCCUUCUGCUUUAUCAAAGUGCAAACAACUGCAACAAUUAAAUUUGCAGUUCAAUAAUUUAUCCGGUGCAAUACCGAAAGAAAUCGGCAACUUGACUAUGCUCAAAGGCAUAUAUCUCGAAUACAACAAACUCCACGGUAUGUUCAUAAUACUAUGUAAAUGUUUUAAUUUCUCACUUGUUAUUUUCUUGAAUACUUUAGACAAGAUCUCGUAAGGGAGAUAUUUUUGGAUCUGUGUUAAUUUGCCAGGUGAGAUACCCCACGAAAUCGCUAAUCUUCGAAAUCUAGAGGAUUUAUUGCUUGGAAUGAACAACCUAGUUGGUGUGUUACCAGCUCCAAUCUUCAACAUGUCAACACUGAAAUUAUUUGACCUCAUAAAUAACUCUCUCUCCGGAAGUCUUCCAUCAAGAAUAGACCUUUCACUUCCAACUGUCGAGUUUUUUGGCUUGGCACUGAAUAGAUUUUCUGGAACCAUUCCUAGUUCCAUCACCAAUGCUUCUAAGCUCACCGUUCUAGCGUUGGGAGAGAACACAUUUUCGGGCUUCAUUCCAAACACAAUUGGUAAUUUAAAAAACCUUGAGUGGCUCAGCUUGGAGAAUAAUUACUUGAAAUCUUCAACCUCAAAAUUGAGCUUUCUUUCCUCUUUGGCAAAUUGCAAGAAAUUAAGAUUCUUAAACUUAGCAGGCAAUCCACUUGACGGCUUCCUUCCAAGUUCAAUAGGUAAUCUUUCUGUGUCUUUGGAAACACUUUUCAUCGGCAAUUGCAGUAUUAGUGGCAACAUUCCUCAAGCAAUUAGCAAUUUAAGCAACUUGUUGACCUUAGCAUUAGAAUUCAAUAAAUUGACUGGACCAAUUCCAAUUACAUUUGGCCGACUACAGAAACUCCAAGGCUUAGAUCUUGCAUUCAAUAAGUUGGUAGGUUCAUUCCCAGAUGAGCUUUGCCAUCUAGCAAGGCUGGAUCAAUUGUACUUAUUUGGCAAUAAGCUUUCAGGAUCUAUACCUUCAUGCCUAAGUAAUCUCACUUCUCUAAGAUCUCUCUACUUAGGGUCUAAUAGGUUUACUUCUGUUAUUCCCUCAACUUUCUGGAGCCUAAAAUACAUCUUGUUCUUUGACUUUUCAUCAAAUUUCUUGGUUGGUACUCUUUCUUUCGACAUAGGUAAUUUGAAGGUGCUUCUAGGAAUAAAUUUAUCAGAAAAUAACUUAUCGGGUGAUAUGCCAGCCACAAUUGGAGGACUGAAAGAUCUUCAAUUUAUGGACCUAGCAUAUAAUAGAUUGGAAGGCCCAAUUCCUGAAUCAUUUGGUGACUUGACAAGUUUGGAGGUUUUGAAUUUGUCAAAAAAUAAAAUCUCUGGGUCUAUUCCAACAUCCAUAGAGAAACUCAUUUACCUUCGAGAGUUAAAUCUCUCUUUCAAUAAACUUGAAGGUGAGAUUCCUAGUGGAGGAAUUUUUACCAACUUCACAGCUGAGUCAUUUAUGGGAAAUGAGUUAUUGUGUGGUUUACCAAAUCUUCAAGUCCAACCAUGCAAACUUAGCAAGCCUAGGACAGAACAUAAAUCAAGGAAAAAGAUACUUCUCAUUGUGAUUGUUUUGCCAUUGAAGAUUGCUCUAACGAUAGCAAUCACUCUAGCUCUCAAAUCUAAGCUGAUCGAAUGUAGAAAAAGAAGCACAGAGUUAUCAAAUGAUAGUAUCUUGUCAUCACAAGCAACACUAAGAAGAUUUUCAUACUUAGAACUUUUACAAGCAACAGAUAAUUUUGCUGAAAACAACAUAAUUGGCAGAGGAGGUUUUGGUUUCGUUUAUGGAGCAAGACUUGAAGAUGGGAUGAAGAUUGCAAUAAAAGUGUUCACCAGCAAUGUGCAAGCGCAUUGAAGAGUUUUGAGGCUGAAUGUGAAGUGUUAAAAAAUAUUCGCCAUCGAAACCUUAUCAAAGUUAUCAGCAGUUGCUCGAACGAUAACUUCAAAGCAUUAGUCCUAGAAUACAUGUCCAACGGGAGCUUGGAGGAUUGGCUGCAUUCUAGCAAUUAUGUGCUGAAUAUAUUUCAGAGGUUGAACAUAAUGAUUGACGUUGCAUCAGCUUUAGAAUAUCUCCACUUCGAUCAUUCAACUGCUAUUAUUCAUUGUGACUUAAAGCCUAGUAAUGUAUUGUUGGACGAAAAUAUGGUUGCUCAUUUGAGUGAUUUUGGCAUAGCAAAGCUUUUAAGUGGAGAGGAUGAGUCUACGAUGCGAACAAAAACCCUUGCCACUAUAGGUUAUAUGGCACCAGGUUUGCUUCAAACAACUUUUUUUUUAGUUCAUUUUAAAUUUUCUAAAUCAUUGAUUUUUACGAUCCUCAUAUCAAAUUGUUACUGAUUAUUUAUCUAAUUGUGAAAUUAAUUUGAUUCAUAGAGUACGGCAUAGAAGGAGAAGUAUCUACAAAAAGUGAUGUUUACAGCUAUGGGAUUAUGUUGAUGGAAACUUUUACCAAGAAAAAACCCACAGAUGAAAUUUUUGUUGGAGAAUUGAGCUUAAAGCGUUGGGUUAAUGACUUGCUUCCUACUUCAUUAGAGGAAGUUGUGGACAAAACUCUGCUAAGUGGAGAGGAAAAACAUUCUUUAGGAAAGGAGCAAUGUCUGUUGUCUAUCUUUAGUUUGGCUCUGGAGUGUACAAUGGAAUCACCGGAAAAGAGGAUUAAUGCAAAAGAUAUUGUUACCGGAUUACUCAAGAUAAAAGCCGCAUUGAGUAAAAGGAUAGGAAAUUUAAGUUAAUUUCGUUUGCUUUCAUUGAUAGUUAAUCUGAAUUCAUGUAAUAAGUGUAGGAAUCUUAUAUCUUUUCCUUUCAUAUAUUUUUUUUCCUUGAGAAAACUGUUGUAGUCAUCUUGUUUCCGUGGACAGAGUUGAUUUAGUUUUUCCAUGAAAUGCUACUGAUGACAUUUGUUUUAUACUUUCUCUUUUUUUGCAUGUGUUUUGGCUGCAGGCUAAGAAGUCUAACUACACUAAAAGAAUAUGAUUUAAUUUAUUAAACAAAACUUCAAGUUCAAGAAAAGUAUUUCACUGCCCCUAAUGCUUUGGACACCUACUGGUAGGUUUGUACGUGUCCUCAACUUUUUUUUGGAGCACAAAAUUCGAGUCCCAUGGAGUCUCAAACAUUCCUUUCCCACAUCCCGAGCACGCUGAAUUUAUCAGACUGACUGUUGUGCGCGGAAUGCGGAAUCAAGCACGCCAAAUAAUUACAGAAAAAUAAAUGACACAAGAAUUUACGUGGUUCGGUAAUUAAACCUACAUCCACGGAGGUAAAAAAAAAAAUUGUUUAUUUAACAAUUAAUAGAGUACAAAUAUUUGAGUAACGAAUCUCACUUCCCAAAAACCCAAAUAUACCCAGUACUCUCACACUCUGCAGGAAAGAUAAAUUCCCCAGACAAACUUCUCUCACUUCUCUCAAAAGCUUAGAAACUUAUAAGCUUAACAAUUUUAGGAUACCAAAGAAUGGAAGAAGUGCCAUCUAUUUAUAGGGAAAAUAAUGGCACUAUUGAACCAACCCUUUUACUAUUCCACCUAACCUAAGCAAAUAGUCAAUGGUGUCCAUUUGGCAAAUUUGACAAAUUUGCCAACUUUCCAUUUUUUCUUCAAAUGUUUGGUAGCUCUUUGAAAAAUUGCCACAUACAUGACUUUUCAACACUGACAACCGGGACAUAUACAAGAGUGAAAUGUUCAGAGCACGCUAAGUUCCAGUGAAAGAGAUUAAUUUACGGAAACUAAAGCCAAGAGAAUAAAGGACAACACUUAUGUGAAGCGACAUAAUUGUAUUGAUAGCACAAUGUCAAAUUCAUACAGAGAUCUAGUAUACUAUUUACAGCCGGUAAGGGCUAAGAAUUGAUGUAGCUAUAAUACAAAUACGAUAAGGUAUGUUGUGCGCUAUUGUUUUUAUUCUCCAAUCAAUCUUGACCCUUGAUGCUUGGUUCUCAAUCUUGUCCAUUGAUCUUCUCUGAUUUUGGAGACUUCAAGACCUUUCAGUAUCAUUCCUUGUUAUUGGUGUCUUCCGUGCUGUAGAAUUCAUAUACAAGUUUUCCCGCCGACUUGCCAAGUAUUCGUUCAUUGGUGCAUUUUUAUCAAACAGCUGGGCUACUUAUGCCAGACACCGCCUGGUUUAACUCCCCCUCUCUAGCUCAACUAUCUGGGAAGACAAUUAAUUGAGCUUGUUUCACAAGUAUAUGAAUCUGAAAGUUAAAUUUUAAAAAUUAUAUUCGGACUCUACAUUUUGUAAUGAACAUUGGUUUGACUUGUUAUACAUUUAUGCGUACAUAAUUAAUAACCGAUUCUCAAGUGCGGACAUUCAAGAGCACUGCUUAAAGACCAAAUAUUUUGAUUUACUACUUUUUGUCUUUCAAUUUUCUUUUAAGUUCUGAUGACGUCCGCAUUUUAAAAUCCUGUGGAACAAAGGCCUGAGGUGCAUAUAAAAUUCUUUUAUUUUUCAGAGGAAAAUGGGUGAGAGAAGAAGAUUUGGCAAAAGAAUUGCAACGGCAUUUGAAACUAGUCUUCGUCUUUUAAUUCUUUUAUAUUUGUUUUUGUUAUUGAUGUUAGCUUGGAUGUGUGCGCGUGUGACUGAAUUCAACUUAUAUUUGUUUUUGUUAUUAUUAUUAAUUUUAUUUGUUUUUGUUAAAUUGGACCACCCCAUUAUCAAAUCAACACGGUUUAAUUAUUAUUAAUUCUACACUUUUUUUACGAACAAAUAUAAAAUAAAAGGACAUUUACAUCCCAAAUUUUAGUGCAAUAGUCAUCAACAUCCCUAAAUUUUUAAAAAGAGACAUCAAAAUCAUUUUUUGAUCUUAAUACUCUUAUACGGUACCUCUAUUAUUCCCAAAAAUUGACUCUAAUGUUUUAUAAUAAAUAAAAAUAAAACUUUAAAAUAAAUGUAAUUACAUAUACAUUUUAAAAUAAUUUCAAUAUUUAAAAAAUAUUUUUAACAUUUUACAAUCUAUUAUAUUUUAUUAUAUUAAAGUAAAUUUUAUUAUAAAUAGAAUCAUAUUAUUAAAAUAAAUGCAUUAAAAUUUAAAUUAUUUUGAAUAUCAUGUAAGAUAAUAAUUUUAACAUUACUAGUGUGUCAGAUUUUUUUUUUUAAUUGUAGAAUGUAUUUAGCGCAAAUAUUUAUUUAAAAUCUCUACAAUAAAUAAAAGAUUUAAAUAAAUAUAAUAAUUUACAUAUCUAAAUUUAUUAAAAUAUUUUAAUAUUGUUAGUCUACUGCAUAGAUCACAAUAUUUAUAUAACAUUUGUAUUUAUUAAAAACUUUAAAAUCAAUUCUUUUGAGAAUAAUAGAGGUAAAGAGUAUAAUGGUAAUAAAGGGGACUUUGUACCCCUUUCUAAAAACUUGAGGAUGUUAGUGACCAUUUCUCCAAACCUUCAGUGUGUUGAUGUAAUUGUCAAGAAAUACAGUAUCUAAACUUUGAAGUAACAAGGAUCACCUUUUAUGAAAUCAUAUUGCUUUUCAUGAUAGACUGUUACCAUUUUUCUACGAUAGAUUCAGUAAAAAAUUGAUUAAGAUGUCUACUCAUGGAGAGUGAAAUUUAUGUUCAAAACUAAUUUCAACAGGCAUGCACCAUCGAACGUGUUUCUCAUGGAAAAGUUGCUUGGAUUUUAGGGACUUUAUGUUCAAAUAUUCAACACGGCAUGCACCACGCGAUUGAACAUGCAAAAGUAGGGGUCUAUUUUCAUUUUCAGCAUUAUAGAAAUCUUAAUUUUGUUCAUUAUUUAUUUUGAUCAGCACUCUUGAAUCUCCAUGUAUUGCCAAUCACUAAGAAACAACAUAUUCUUAUUAAUUAUAUCCUCUAAUGGAGAGAACUCAUUGUCUCAGUAAGAUCACUGUGUCAUUAACCCACAGCAUGCUGAUUUGCUUGGUUGCUGCAGCAAGCAAAAAUAUUACCACAGAUCAAAAAGCUCUUCUUGCCCCAAAAGAUCACAUAACUUAUGCUCCAACUAAUCUUUUGACCCAAAAUUGGACCUCAAAUACCUCUGUUUGUACGGGGAUUAGCAUCACUUGCGAUGUCAAUAGCCAUGAAGUUGCAGCCUUGGAUAUUUCUCAAUUCAAUCUACAAGGCACCAUUAUUCCAAACACAACUGGUAAUUUAAGAAACCUUAAGUGGCUCGGCUUGGCUUAUAAACUACUUGACAUCUUCAACUUCAAAAUUGAGCUUUCUUUCCUCUUUGGCAAGUUGCAAAAAAUUAAGAAUCUUAGGCUUACUGGAAAUCCACUUGACCGUAUCCUUUCAGGUUCAAUAGGUAAUCUUUCUAUGUCUUAGGAAAGGUUUCACAUCGCCAAUUGCAGCAUUAGUGGCAGAAUUCCUCAAGUAAUCAGCAAUUUAAGCAACUUGUUGGCUGGUGUGCAAAAUUUUAAUAUACUUGCAAGCGCAUGAAUCUAGAAAUAGAAUAAUAGUAACGAGGUCAAACCCACAUGGAUCGUUAUAAACUGACAAAAGAAUAGCUGCUGGUCUAGAGGUGGCUUACUACAUUCAUACAAGAUCGUUUCUUGUUCUCUAAGAUAUGCAUUAUACUAAUAAUGCUAUACAAACUUAUCCAAAGGUCUAUUAAUUAAUUCAUUAAUCCAACGGCUUGUUAGGUUGUCCUUUCAUCCAUACAGCUGCAUGCUUGUCUUCUUAUAUACUGAUCUUAUCCUCUAGAUCUGUUCAGGCUGAGUGAUCUCUCACAUUUGCCAUAUCAGAAGAUUACAUGCCAGUAAUGUCAUGUGAUGACCUGUUGCUUGGUGAUGUCGAAUGCCUGGCCUUUACUUCUCUGAGCAAAUUGAUCAAACAAUUUGUUCAUUUUAUCGAACACCUUCACCAACCAACAUUUUAUUUACUUUUGAUGGUUUUUAAGUGCAUUUAAUGAUUAUUUUUGCUCCAACUUCAGAUAAACCAAACGCUAGUAUAUUAGAAGAAGAAGUUCACUGGCAGCUAACCAGGUCAAAAUAGCGACUCUAUAUAAAAAAUAUAUAUAAAAAAUAAAUAAAUAAAAUGGGACUUUAUUUAAUUAAUUGUUGGUCUAAAGCUGUUGGUAUCCGUUGGCCACGUUUCUGAAGAGUCAUCUCAAAUCGAAAUUUUUAACGAACAAAGAACUUUGCUUUUUUCCAUUGUUCACAUUGCUGCUGGCUGCCACCCGUGAGAUAAAAGUGCUACAAGCUUUCCGUCGACAUUCCCCCCUCCAUUUUCACCAUGCAUAAGCUGAAAUUUCUUGAUUUCAGUGAUAAUCAGCUCUCUGGUUCUUUGUCCUCCGUCACCUUCAACUUGUCUUCAGUAUUAGAUAUUCGUUUGGAUAGUGACAAACUCUCUGGUGAACUCCCAGUAAAUAUUUGCAAUUAUCUUCACUAUUUAAAAGUCCUUUUUUUGGCCAAAAACAUGUUUCACGGUCAAAUACCACUGGCUUUAUCCAAGUGCAAACGGCUACAACUGUUAAAUUUGGGGUUCAAAAAAUUAUCAGGAGCCAUACCGAAAGAAAUCAGCAACUUGACUAUACUUCGAAAGAUAUCUCUCAGAAAUAAUAAACUUCGCGGUAUAAAUGUUUAUAAUAUAUACUUUGUAAAUGCUCUUAUUAAUCAUUCUUGAACUUUCUUAGAUACUUUUGUCUAAAUAAGAUUUUGCAAAAGAGUUUUUUGCAUCUCUGUUAAUUUUGCAGGCGAGAUACCUCACGAAAUUGGGUAUCUUCCAAAUCUAGAGAAUUUGGUGCUUGGAUUCAACAACCUAGUAGGUGUUGUACCUGCUGCAAUCUUCAACAUGUCAACAGUGAAAAAAAUUUACCUAUUAGAUAACUCUCUCUUGGGAAGUUUUUCAUUAGGAAUAGACCUUUCACUUCCUAACGUUGAGAGACUGAACCCGGGGCUGAACAGAUUUUCUGGAACCAUUCCUAGUUUCAUCACCAACGCAUCUAAACUUGUAUAUCUAGAUAUGGGAACAAACUCUUUUUCGGGCAUUAUUCCGAACACAAUUGGUAAUAAUCUAAGAAACGUUGACUGGCUCGACUUAACAUACAAUCGCUUGACAUCAUUAACUCUAGAAUUGAGCUUUCUUUCCUCUUUGACAAUUGCAAGAAAUUAAGAUUCUUAGGCUUAACAGGCAAUCCGCUUGACGGUGUCCUUCCAACUUCAAUAGGUAAUCUUUCUAUGUCUUUGGAAAACAUUUACAUCUCAAAUUGUAAUAUUGGUGGCAGCAUUCCUCAACUAAUCAGCAAUUUAAGCAAUUUGUUGCUCUUAGAUUUAGAAGGCAAUAAGUUGACUGGAUCAAUUCCAGUCACAUUCAGCCGGUUGCAGAAACUCCAGGGUUUAUAUCUUCCAUUUAACAAGUUAGCAGGAUCAAUCCCAGACCAGCUUUGCCAUUUAGCUAGACUGAAUACAUUAGGUUUGGCUGGUAAUAAGUUUUCUGGAUCAAUCCCUUCAUGUUUAGGUAAUCUCACUUCUCUAAGGUCUCCCGACUUAGGGUCCAAUAGGCUUACAUCAGUCUUGCCCUCAACUUUUUGGAAUCUAAAAGACAUCUUGUUCUUUGACCUUUCAUCAAAUUCUUUGGAUGGUCCUCUUUCUUUAGACAUAGGAAAUUUAAGGGUUGUGAUAGGAAUAAAUUUAUCACGAAAUAACUUUUCAGGUGAUAUCCCAAGUACAAUUGGAGAUCUAAAAGACUUACAGAAUAUCUCCUUAGCAUGUAAUGGAUUGGAAGGUCUAAUUCCUGAAUCAUUUGGUUACUUGACAGGUUUGGAAAUUUUAGAUUUGUCAAAUAACAAAAUCUUUGAGUUUAUUCCGAUAUCUUUUUAAAAACUCUUGUACCUCAAAGAGCUAAAUUUGUCUUUUAACAAACUAGAAGGAGAGAUUCCUAGGGGAGGACCUUUUGCAAAUUUCACAGCUAAGUCAUUCAUGGGAAAUGAGAAAUUGUGUGGUUUACCAAAUCUCCAAUUCCCAAAAUGCAAGCGUCGGACGCGUCGAAAAUCAAAGAAAAAGAUGCUUCUACUUGUGAUUGUCUUGCCAUUGAGUACUGCUCUAAUAAUCGCAGUCCCUCUAGCUCUAAAAUAUAAAUCGAUAAGAGGUGGAAAGAGUAGUACUAGGUUGUUAAAUGAUGGUAUCUUGCAUCACAAGAAACACUAAGAAGAUUUUCAUACCAAGAUCUUUUUCGUGCAACAGAAAAAUUUAGUAAAGAAAAUCUAAUUGGCGUAGGAAGUUUUGGUUCUGUUUAUCGAGGAAGAAUUCAUGAUGGAAUUGAGGUUGCAAUAAAAGUGUUUCACCAGAAUUGUGCAAUGGCAUUGAAGAGUUUUGAGGCUGAAUGUGAAGUGAUGAAAAAUAUUCGUCAUCGAAAUCAUGUCAAAAGAAUCAGUAGUUGUUCGAACGAAGAUUUCAAAGCAUUAGUUCUAUAAUAUAUGCCCAAUAGGAGCUUGGAGGAUUGCCUGCAUUCUACCAAUUGUUCGUUAAAUAUUUUUGACAAGUUGAACAUAAUGAUAGAUGUUGCAUCGGCUUUGGAAUAUCUCCACUUCAGUCAUUCAACUCCUGUCAUUCAUUGCGACUUAAAGCCCAAAAAUGUAUUGUUAGAUAAAAAUAUGGUUGCUCAUUUCAGUGAUUUUGGAAUUGGAAGGCUCUUAACUGGAGAUCGAUCAAUGAUACAAACAGAAACACUUGUCACAAUUGGUUAUAUGGCACCAGGUUUGCUCUGAAACAAUUUUUGUUUUUUUUUUUUGGGUUUUCAUUCAGACUUUCCAAAUUAUUAUUUUUCCAUGAUCCUUCUAUCCUAAUGUUAUUGAUUAUUUAUCUAAUGAUAAAAUCAAUUUGGUUGAUAUAAUAUGGCAUAGAAGGACGAGUAUCUACAAGAAGUGAUGUUUAUAGUUAUGGAAUUAUGUUAAUAGAAACAUUUACUAGGAAGAAACCCACAGAUGAAAUGUUUACUACAGAAUUGAGCUUAAAACUUUGGGUUAACAACUUGCUACCUGCUUCAUUGAUGGAAGUUGUGGACAAAACUCUUUAAGUAGGGAAGAAGAAGAUUUUGCUGCGAUGGAGCAAUGUGUGUUAUCAAUCUGAGUUUAGCCAUGGAGUACGUGAUGGAAAUGCCAGAAAAAAGGAUCGAUCCAAUAGAUAUUGUAACUAAACUAUUGAAAAUAAGAGACAUAUUGAGUAAAAGGUUAGCAAAUUUAGGUUAAUCUCAUUUCUUGGCAUUGAUACUUGAAUCAAUAUACACUUAAUUUGAAUCAAUGUAUGAGUGUAAGAAUAUGAUAUAUUUUCCUUUAAUUUUUUUUCCUGAGAGAAAUAUCAUAGCUGUCUUGUUUCAAAUUAAUUUUAUACUUUUUUUUCUUUUUCUAAGAUCAUGCCAAAGAGUUGUAGGAAGAUCAGCCACAAAUUCAAAGCCGGCUAAGGCAUUUGAAGAUGGAGAGAUUGGUAGUUUUUUUCCCAUUAAAAUUAAUAUAUAUCACUUAUCCCAACUAUUUUCAUAAUGCCUAAUAAGCUCUUGGCACCAUAACUUUACCAUAUAACCCUUAUUUUGAAAUACACUUUUAUUCAUAUUAAUAUUAAUUAAAUAAAUCAUAUGAGUUGAAAUUAAAAAUUAAAAAAUUAAAUACCAAAAAAAAGAAAUAUACGUUUUAGUGUGCUAAAAAAUUAAUAUUAAAAUAUUUUUCUUAUAUAUAUAUAUAUAUUAUUCUCAAAAUAAUGUAUCAAGCAAAUGACUUUUUUCUCUUCUUUUUCUUUAACUUUUUUUGUGCUAGUAGAGUUUUUAGAUAUUAUAAAAACAAUAAAAGAAUAAGUGAUAUAUAUUAAUUUCAGUUGAAAAUAACCAACAAUCCCCCUUUAAUUACGUGUCACACCCAACUUAUAAAUUCUAUCAAUCAUGUAAUUAUGGUUGGUUUCUCUUUUUCUUUUUUUUGCAUGUGUUUAGGUAGAAUAGUGGUUUGGUUGCACUCUAAGAAGUCAAACUACACUAAAAGAAUAUGAUUUAAUUUAUUAAACAUAACUUCAAGUUCAAGAAAAGUAUCUUAUUGCCCCCAAUGCUUUGGACACCUAUUGGUAGGUCUGUACGUGUCCUCAACUUUUUUUUGGAGCACAAAAUUCGAGUCCCAUGGAGACUCAAACAUUCCUUUCCUUCAUCCCGAGGGCGCCUUCUGUCCUCUGUUUCUGUUUCCACACACAAAUAGCAAAAAGAAAUUAGAAUGACAACUGGGACAUAUAUAAGAGUGAAAUAAUUAAAAAAUUAUGCUUUUUUGUUUGUCGUGUUAAAAUCGUAAGUACCGAUGUACUGUGAAAGAGAUUAAUUUACAGAAACUGAAGCCAAGGGUUCAAAAAAAAAGUGCAAAGAGAAUAAUUGUAUUGGUAGCACAAUGUCAUAUUCAUACAGAGAUCAAGUAUAUUAUUUACGGCUGGUAAGGACUAAGAAUUGAUGUAGCUAGAAUGCAAAGAUGAUAAGGUAUGUUGUGCACUAUUGUUUUAUUCUACAAUCAAUCUUGACCCUUGAUGCUUGGCUCUUAAUCUUGUCCAUUGAUCUGGUCAACUAUCUGGGAAGACAAUUAAUUGAGCUUGUUUCACAAUUAUAUGAAUCUGAAAGUUAAAUUUUAAAAAUUACAUUCGGACUCUACGUUUUCUAAUGAACAUUGGUUUGGCUUAUAAGCUUAUUAUGCUUAGGCUUAGGCUUGGUAAGAUUAUCGGUCGGUAGAUGAACAAGUUUUAGAGCUUUCGAAUUCAUGCCAAUUAAUUUUCAACUAGGCUAUUACCACAAUAAACAUUUAGAUGAACUAUUAUUGAAAUUUUAUUGAGAAGUGGAACAUGUCGCAUACCAAUGCACGGACAUAUCUUCAAAUAGUGGUAACUCCACACAACAUGGCACAACAAAUUAAGAGUUAUAUAGAUAAAAUCUUUCUACAAUUACAAUAGAUUGAAUUUAGUAAGAAAUUGAUUGUUAUCAUUUUUCUCAUGGAAAAGUUGUUUGGAUUACAAUAGAUUGAAUUUAUGUUCAAAUAUUCAACACGGCAUGCACCACGCGACUGAACUUGCAGAAGGAGAGGUCCAUUUUCAUUUUCAGCAUCACAGAAAUCUAAAUUUGUUCAUUAUAUAUUCUGAUCAGCACUUGAACAUCCAUGCAUACUCCUAUUAAUUAUAUCCUCUAAUGGAGAGAACUCAUUGCCUCAGUAUGAUCACUGUGUCAUCAACCCACUGCCCGCUUCUUUGCUUGGUUGUUGCAGCAAGCAACAAUAUUACCACAGAUCAACAAUAGUUUGUCCAUUUGUUUCAGUGAGGUCGUCAUUAAAAAUUAAUUUUCAUAUUGAUUUUCUUAAUUAUAAAUAAUACUAAUGAUAUUUCAUAGUUAUAAAUAUAUUAGAAUUAAUCAAAAUCAUUUUUUAGUGCGGCAUGGCUAAAACUACCUUCUUCUUUUUUUUUUAUAAGUAAUUACUACUUUAAGGAAAAUACUCCUAUUUUCAGGGAAAAGUCAAGUACCUGUAGUUGUGAAGACUCGAGCUCACCCUCUUAUGAUAAAUCUUCAUAUCAAUUACAUAAAUAUCCUCUAAGUUUUUAGUUAACUAUUCAAAAUUCGAUGUUAUACGGGUAUUUCAUUUAUUUGAGUAGGGGUUAGGGGUCAAUUGGAUACAAAUUCAAAAUUAUCCUUACUUGAGAAGGUGAUAAAAAUUGGGGAUUUAGUUUGGGUGUCAUUAGCUACAAAUAUUAAACUCAUACAUCUAAUUCAAAAUUGCAUCCAGGUUCAUUGCAGCUAAGGCUUGUGGAAUUUCCUCAGUAAGAUGUGAGUAGUCAUACCUACGUCGACAUUCAAUGGCUGUAUGUUUCGGUAAAUGACAAAUUUGGCAUAUGACAGUUUCUUCAUUGACUUCCUCAGCUUGUUGUUUGGAUUGAUUCUGAAUUUUGUGCCAAGGCUGUCCAGAAUUAUUUUGUCGAGGUUGCUGCCACUGUUGUCCCGAAUUUCCUUGCCAUGAUUGUUGCCCUUGUUGACUUGGAUUAUUGUUUGAUUUUUGCCAUGGCUGACUUGCAUUAUUAUUCCAACUUUUUCCACCAUUGUAGUUGAUUUUUUGACCACUUGAAUCAGCCAAAUUUUGUCCUCCUGCUGCUGUAAAACCACGACCUUUUGAGUUAAAGAAACCUCCAUUUCCACGACCUUUUCCCUUGCCUCGUUGGCUAAAAAAGGCUUGAGCCAGAUUGAUUGUAUUCUUCUUUUCUUCUUCAAAAUUAAUAAGAGUUUGUUCAUGAUUUUCGAGGGCCAUGACAAACUGCUUAAAUGAGGGAUAAGGUGGUUUUGAAAGUUGAGCAAGUUUGAAGUCUUGACUUUAUCGAAGUCAUUCACUGGUUUAUUUAUUGCAGCCAAACAAUCACAGAUAUGCUUGUAUUUGCGCACAUACUCUUCAACUGAUAGAGAUCCCUUUUUAAACCGAGAGAAUUACUAUAUUUACACAAUUAACCUUGGCUAGAAUUAAUUGUCCAGAUUGGAUGAUAACUAGAGAAUAGAAAUGAAGAAAAGGAAGCACACAACACCGAGAAGAGUAAUAAUUAAUGCUGCCAUUGACGAAAUGUUUUAUAUUACUCUUCUUUCUUGGUAUUUAUUUAUUUACAAUUUUUAAUGUAAAUAUACAGUUGUUGGGCUAAUAUCUUAUUUACUUUUGAAUGUAUUAGAUGCCUUUUCUUUUUUCUUGGUUCAUAAUAAUUUUGUAGAAAUUCCUCAAGUUUCCCUAAAUGAUAGCACAUAUUCAUAAUUGGAUUGAUUGAGUAAUAAUAAAAUAUAUUUAUUUGGCAAACGGCAGUUAGGCUUUCUUCUGAUGCAGAUUAAUUAGAGAGAAUAUAUAACAAUUUUAAGCUCGUCAGAUUCGGAACCUGCUUAUCUGUCGUGUGGGGAUCACUUCUGUGUCUUAUUUUUCUAGAAAAAUCUGGACCAUUGGAUUUCCCAUUAUUCAAUAGAUAAAUGUUUGAUCUUGAUUCUUGAUUAAGAUCGAAGUUUGAUUCUAACCAAAAUGAUGUCAGAUUCAGAUUGCGAAGCAAGCAAAUUGAAAGUAACUUGUUCUAUUUUGAUAAACACUAGUUCUAAUAAAAAAUUUCUAAGUGUAUAUAUUUUUUUUAUUGUGUUCAAUUUAACUAGUCAAAUCUAUUUUUAAAUAUUUUAUUAACAAUGAUAUGAAAAUAUUCGAACCCCUUGUCAUUGUAAAGUGAAUUACUAUCCAACUACACCAAAUAAUGUUUUCAAAUUGUAAACUGCAAAUCGUGUGUUUGCUCCAUUACAGCGUUUCUUCAAUUUAAAAAAGAGAAUCAUUUGCAUUCUAGAUUAAUCGUGGGUCUAUAUCCAAAUCUAAAAAUUGACUAAAUUCUUAAUCCUAACAAGAAAAAUUGAAGAUUAAAAACGACUAAUUUGGUACCAUACCACUAUUGUAACAUAGGUGGAUCCUCUAUUAAUUGGAGUAAAGAUUGAAUUAUCUCAUUUAUUAAGAUUUAUCAAAAUCUUGUAUCAAAAUCUAUUAAUGAUAUAGGUUCAAGGAUGAAAGAGUCACUUCAUUACUUUUGAGUUCCCAAAUAGAUGAAUGGAUGUUAUUUUUGGAUAGGUGCUAAAUCGAAUUAAGUUGUAGAUAAGAUAGAAAUGGAUUUGGAGAGAUUGGAAUCCUAGGUAAUCCGGUGCACGUUGUCGUGUUAAAUUCUCGUUGACUUCACGUUGACUGAAGCAUUAUUGGAAGAAACAAGUUUAUUGAGGUGAGGCCUUUGAGAUUGUAAGUGUUAAAUCUGAGAAGAAUACCCACACACCCAUUAUCCUAUUACUCUUAUAUCACAUGAAGAGAAUUCAACAUUUGAUUCACAUGGAACAAAAUUGUGAGGAUUGCGAGGGUUGAUGGAAUAUAAUUUAGAUACAAAGUGUUUACCAGUGCGAUGCUUCACAAGUGUUUUCAAUCAUAGUGAUUGUUUUAUCUGCACGUGGAUAUAAUCACAUGUCAGAAUUUUUUUCCUUAAAUUAUGAUCUUAUUUAGUACUGAGGUGUUAUAUCUUUUAAUGUACAAUUAUUGUUGGAAAAAAGUUGCAACUAUCAAAUAAAAUUAAUACUAUGUGCUAAAUAUAAUUGUUAAAUAAUAAUUUUGACAAAAUUAGUGAAGUUAAAUAGAUUUUUUUUUUAUCAUCCAAGUAUAAAAUCAAAUCAACUUAACUUCUAAGUUCUAUAUCGGCUACUGUUUAUCAUAUCUUUUAGUUUUGUAACUUUAAAGUUAUAGUUACCCAACCUCAAUUCUAAACAAGACCUAUAAAGAUCAAAGAUUUCCUCAUUAAAUUAUAUGUCUUGUGAUUGCUUAUUUAAUUUAUAUUUUUGUUAUUUAUCUUUAUUAAUUAUAAUCAUCUUUUUAUAAAUUAAAAUUGAAGGAAGUUGAUUGAUGUUGUUGACACACACACACACACACACGCACGCACACACUCGCAAAGAUAUAUUGGAAGUGCUUACGUCGACUCGAAGUUGUUGGGAAUUAAUGCAUGUAUUGAUUUAUUGGGAGUGUUUAAAUUGAUUUAUUAAUUGAAUAUUGUUUGAUUGCUUCAUAUCCAUUCUAGAAAGUUUAUUUCUUUGUGAAAUUUCAACGAAAUAUGUUUUUUUUUUUAAAUAAGGGUGUUCUAAAUCAUUUUAAAAAAUAUAUGGACUAAUUAGAAUUAAUUAUUAGGUAAUUAACUCAAUUUGUACAGGGUGAAACAACAUUUAUCCUAAUUAUAUCAUGAUAAAUACUUUUCUGAUUAGAAUUAGGAAAUCAUAGGUUAUUGAAUUGUUUUUUUUUUCCUUUGCGAAUGGAUUAGAGAAUUAGAAAACAUCAUGUUGAUGUCAAAAUCUGAUCUAGUCNNNNNNNNNNNNNNNNNNNNNNNNNNNNNNNNNNNNNNNNNNNNNNNNNNNNNNNNNNNNNNNNNNNNNNNNNNNNNNNNNNNNNNNNNNNNNNNNNNNNAGCAUUAAAUUUAUUUGGUAGAGAAUUGGCUGGUCAAUUGUCAAGAUGUCCUGCAAUCACUAGCGAUUAACCUACGAAUACCUGAAAUCACAAAAGACGGUAAGAGGCACUAGAAAUUUUUUCGGCGUGAACCUUCUGACGCUCAAGUCAGUUUAUAGGUUUACCAUAAUAAAAAUAAAUAAUUUCUAUUUAAAACAAAAAAUAAAGUUCAAAAGCUCAAAAAUAAAACCCAAUCCCAAUAUGAAAAUGAAUUUCUUUUUUUUUUUUAGCUUGGCCGAAUCCUUCUGCCUCCUAAAGAAACAUAAUAGAGAAGCAGGUAGCCAUGUUCCCUAGGUAACGCCCCACUCCCCUCUUUUAUUCCUCCCCCUCUCUUCCGUUUCCUUCUUUUGCUCACUAUCCUUUAUAAUUUUUUAUGCUUGUCUUCCCAAAAUAGCCUUUGAAUACACAAGUACAUGUCUAGCCUUUGGUGAGGAUAGUUUGGUCAUUGCAUUUUACAAGUAAGAUGAGUGGUGGAGAAAAAUGAGGAGUGCACAUAACUCUUCAGCAAAUCCCACCAACAAUUCCAUUUUCUUAAUUAAUUAAUCUCCUUUUUUAUCCCCAAACAAAUCCUAAUGAUACUCUUAUCAGGUUUAAAACAGUACACAAAUAGUGAAAAGCUAACUAGUCUGUAGAGUAAUUUGCUAAUUGCUAUCUCCUCUCUACGCGCGCUGAAUAAUUUGUUGCAUGCAAACUUUUUAUUUUAUGCAAAUCGUACGUACUGUAACAUUGGAAUUGAUGGAUAAGCAAAAAUACAAUAAUAUUUAUGCCAAUAAAAAUAGUUUUUUUUCCUUUUUAAAUAAACACAACGCGAUGUUGCUCUGCUCUACAUUUUUGCUAUCUCUUUAUUCUUUUUUUUUUUUUGGGCUUCUUAAAGCCUCAAACUUUGACAACCAAAACUUCAUCGACCUAUGAAAAAAUCUGCAGAUUAGUUUUUAUUAUCGGAAUAAUUGUUUGAGAAUACUAAAACAAAAUAUAAAAUAAGAAAAUACGGGGUUAAAUUUGGGGAAAACAAAAAGGCAUGUUCUAUCGAUUACUAUAGUUUAAGAAAACAAAAUCCAAUUGGGAAUUUUUUUCUUUAAUUUUUGUUUUACUUGAUUGAGAUUUCUCCUUAGUCCUUACAGUUUUAAGUUUGGAUGCCGUAGGGUUAGUAAUUUAGUACUUCCUUUGCAAGCUGAGGGCAAGAAUGAAAAUCUUUAAAGAAAUUAAAAAAGAUUAAAAAAAAGCAUACCAAUAGGUAAUUAUAAAUAACCAUAAAUAAACAUAAACAAAAUAUUUAUGAAGUAAAUUACACAUGCACAUAUUAUUUUUUUGUUUUAUUUCUUACUUGUCUAUUUUAUUUGUCUAUUUUAUUUGCUGCUUGAUAACCCGUAAAUACUAAUCUAGUACUGCUAAUUUCAGACACAAAAUUUUUAACUCUAGGCUGCAGUUUUGCUCAAAAUGAUGACCACUGGCUUCGCACCAUUUAACCGGCAUACAUUUCUACAAAUUGAACAAGGCUAUUGAUUUUCAUUAUUAUUUUUUAUUUAUUUAUAAAUUACUAUUUUAAUUUUCACUUUUUAUUGGGUUGUUUACAAUUUUAUUUUAUAAUUUCAAAUUUGUAUUUUAAAAUGCAGGUACAUUAUGUAUACAUAAUUAUUGAUUUUCAUAUGUGGGUGUUUUGAAAUAUUGCUAAAAGACCAAACUUAAUAAACUAUUUUUCAUCUUUUUUUCCCUUUUUUCCUAAAGGUUGAGUGAUAUCCGCAUUUUAAAUUCAUGUGGAACAAAAGCUAAUGAAUGCACAAAAUUCUUUUAUUUUUUCCGAGAAAAAUGGGUAAGAGAAGAAGAUUUUUCUCUUGAAAAAGAAAAACUAAUACGAUGCAAACAUAGGAAAGAGGUCAGUGUUUUGGAUUAGAAUUUAUUAUUGACCUGAAUUUUAUACUAAACUCUUUUAUAGUACUGCGAUUAAUGAACUCAUGAUUUGCUUUUGCUUUUACUUCAAGUGAAAGAAAGAGGAAACCUUUUGUUUUUUGUUUGAUUCUUGACUAUAGAUGUUACCUAUAUAGAGAGUUGAGGUAGCUGCCUUAAGUGAUGGUGAUAAAAAGAUUAAGCAGCGCACAAAAUCUGACUGUCGUCCAGACCAUCCAGCUGUGAUGGCUCUAGUUUUUUGGUUACAUUAGCUUUAGUGGAAAGGAGGGCCAAUUUAACAAAGACUAGAUUUGGUGGCUUACUAUAAUGCUUAUUCUCAAGGAAUCUAAUGUUAUAAGAUGAUUUAAUGAUCUUCUAUGAUUGUGAGUAGUAUAGUAUAAUUGAAAAGAGCCUGGGCUCCUAUGAUGAAUAUUUAAUAGUAACACAAUAUUGUGAUUGAAAAAAACACUGUUACAAUAAACUCUUCAUUUAUUCAUUGCGGAUAUUGAAUGGCAAACAGAGAAUAAAAUGAAGCAGAGGAAUCUCAUUGCUAGUAAAAUUGACCCUCUUUAAUGUUAUAUGGCACAGGUGUGUGUACAGCAAGAGCAAGUGACUUGCAGUUUUUUUUUGUAAAAUAUACAGGUUAUGACCAUGAUCAUUGUAGUUAGGUUUUGAUGAUUUUAGAUGCUUUUUUUAUUUUUUUUAAAUUGUGACACCUUUGAUUUAUGGUAGUUUUGCAGAAGAAAAAAAUAUAUAAAAAAAUUAGGAAGAAUGAGUUAACUAACAAUUGCAAUCAUUACAACAAUGUUGAUGAGUGAUACAUCAUUUGAAAUUUACUUGUCAGUUGCUAAAAUGAUGAAAAAAAACAAUAAACAAUAGCAGUAAUAUUUUUAUGGAAAUUCUUGGUUUUUAUGGAAAUACUCUUGCUGAAAUUCUAAUUUUGACUUUCAACUCUUGGUUUUUAUGGAAAGUAAAAUGACUUGUUUUUUAUAUUCAUACAAUCCACUCUACAUAAUGAUUUCAUUUUAAUAAAUGCUUGAUGAUCUCCACUGAAAAACUACUUCAAUUCUUUUGUUUUAUUUAACUUUUUGGUUGUUGAAAAUAGCCUUAAUUUUCAAAUAACUGGAGAAAGAGUAAAGAACAUUUAACAAAUUUAUGUGCCAAAAAUAAAGGAGAAAUUGAAGAGAAAGGGUGCUUGCAGAAGUGGGUGCAAAGAUAAAUCAGUCUAUAAGAAUUAUUGUGGUUAUUAAUUUUUUGGCAAUAUAAAAAAUUUUCAGCAAAUAAAAAUUGAUUUUUUCCAAUUUACUAAAAAAUUAAUUAAAAACUUUGGCGAUAGCAUUUUUUGUUGGUGCAUGUACCCUCCCUUUUAAAAAAAUAUAAUAAUUAAUACUUAAUAUAAUAUUAAAUACGAAAAUAUCAAUAUUUGACUACACAAAUUUAUAUCAUUAGGUCCUUAAAAUUUAAAAUUGAAGACAUAGAAUGAAAUAUAUAAAUAUAUAUAAAUUUUAUAAUCUUAAAAUAUUUGAAAGAUUUUUUAAAACAAAUGUAAUUUUAUUUGUGUACAAUCAAUAUUUACUUAUUUAUUAUAUUUUUAUUCAUUAACUAUCAAUCAUGUGAGUAUAUCUACUUAGAAAUAUCAUAUCAAGGGAGAAUCUUGAUCCCACGCACACGCAAAUAUGUUAAUUUCUAUACGCUUCACUUACCUGUAGAAUCAAUUAUCUAAAAUGCAAGUUUGUGGCCACAAAAAAGGCCAAAGAAAGAAGAUAAUAACAAUUGACUUGUAUAUUAUACUCAUACAAUCCACUCGACAUAAUGAUAUCAUUUUAACAAGGCAAUGGCUGAUGAUCUCCAUUGAAAAACUAAUUCAUUUCUUUUGCUUCAUUUAACUUUUUGGUUGUUGAAAAUAACCUUAAUGAUCAAAUUUAUGUGCAAAAAAAAAAGGAGAAGUUGAAGAGAAAGGGUGCUUGCAGAAGUGGAUGUCAAAGAAAAAUCGGUCCAUAAGAAUUAUUGCGGUUAUUUUUUGGCAAUAUAAAAUUUUUAUAGCAUGUAAAAAUUAAUUUUUUUUCCGAUUUACUAAAAAAUUAACUAAAAACUUCUGCGACAGCAUUUUUUAUGGGUGCAUAUACCCUCCCUUUAAAAAAAAUAUAAUAAUUAAUGCUUAAUAUAGUAUUAAAUACGAAAAUAUCAAUAUUUGACAACUCAAAUUUAUAUCAUUAGGUCCUUAAAAUUUAAAAUUGAAGACACGAAAAGAAAUAUAUAAAAAUUUCAUUCUCAUGGAAAGGAUUCUCUUAUAAUCUUAUAAUAUUUGAGUUCUGAAAUUUUUUUGAAACAAAUGUAAUUUUAUUUGUGUACAAUCAAUAUUUACUUAUUUAUUAUAUUUUAAUUUAUUAACUAUCAAUCAUGUAAGUAUAUUUAGUCAGAAAAAUUAUAUCAAGAGAGAAUUCUAAUUUCACACAAACACAAAUACAAGACAAAUAUGUCAAUUUCUAUACUAUUCACUUUCCUGUAGAAUCAAUUAUCUAAAAUGGAAGUUUGUGGCUACAGCAAACUCGCCAAAGAAAGAAGAUAAUAACAAUUGAGCAUUGAUAGCAAAACUAAUGCAUCAUUUUCUUCUUGACUUGAUGAGAUGGCGCCAUUACAAAAAAACAAGUACCUUAAUUGACGGGCACUGAGUGAUGUGAAUACUACCAGCCAGUUCAUCUCUUCCAGUCUUGCUUAAUCACAAUCACAAACACCACGAGAUUGACAUUUGCAUUAUAUAUAUGUUCAGCAAUCGAAACACCUUGCAUUACCAAAUUAACCGCUAACAAACAAAGCAAUCUUUCAGGGAGAGAAACUUUAGUCUCAGUAUGAUCACUGUGUCAUUAACCCACUUCCUGCUUCUUUGCUUGGUUGUUGUAGCAGCAGCAGCAGCAAGCAACAAUAUUACCACAGACCAACAAGCUCUUCUUGCCCUGAAAGAUCAUAUAAUUUAUGAUCCGACCAACCUUUUUGCCCAUAAUUGGACCUCGAAUACCUCUGUUUGUACCUGGAUUGGCAUCACUUGUGAUGUCAAUAGCCAUAGAGUCGCAGCCUUAGAUAUUUCUCAAUUCAAUCUACAAGGCACCAUCCCUCCUCAACUUGGAAACCUCUCUUCACUCACAACGCUUAAUCUUAGUCAUAACAAGCUUUCUGGAAACGUUCCCUCCUCCAUCUACACAAUGCAUACGCUAAAAUUUCUUGACUUCACUGAUAACCAGCUCUCUGGUUCGGUGUCUUCCUUCGUCUUCAACAUGUCUUCAAUAGUAGAAAUUCGUUUGACCAAUAACAGAUUUUCUGGUGAGCUUCCGAAAAAUAUUUGCAACUAUCUUCCUUAUUUGAAAGCCCUUUUCUUAAAAAAAAACAUGUUUCAUGGCAAAAUUCCUUCUGCUUUAUCAAAGUGCAAAACUCUGCAAAUAUUAUUGUUGCAGUUCAAUAAUUUAUCCGGUGCAAUACCAAAAGAAAUCGGCAACUUGACUAUGCUCAAAGGGAUAUCUCUAUUAUGCAACAAACUCCACGGUAUGUUCAUAAUACUAUGUAAAUAUUUUAAUUUCUCACUUGUUAUUUUUCUUGAAUACUUUAGAUAAGAUCUUGUAACAGAGAUUUUUUUGCAUCUAUGUUAAUUUGCCAGGUGAGAUACCCCACGAAAUCGCUAAUCUUCGAAAUCUAGAGGCUUUAGUGCUUGGAAUGAACAACCUAGUUGGUGUGUUACCAGCUCCAAUCUUCAACAUGUCAACACUGAAGGUACUUAUCCUCAUGGAUAACUCUCUCAGUGGAAGUCUACCAUCAAGAAUAGACCUUUCACUUCCAACUGUUGAGUUUCUUGAGUUGGCACAUAAUAGAUUUUCUGGAACCAUUCCUAGUUCCAUCACCAAUGCUUCUAAGCUCAC